rnacentral:rRNA from 1 species
GAGGAAUAUUGGUCAAUGGACGGAAGUCUGAACCAGCCAAGUAGCGUGCAGGAUGACGGCCCUAUGGGUUGUAAACUGCUUUUGUAUGGGGAUAAAGUUAGGGACGUGUCCCUAUUUGCAGGUACCAUACGAAUAAGGACCGGCUAACUCCGUGCCAGCAGCCGCGGUAAUACGGAAGGUCCAGGCGUUAUCCGGAUUUAUUGGGUUUAAAGGGAGCGUAGGCUGGAGAUUAAGUGUGUUGUGAAAUGUAGACGCUCAACGUCUGAAUUGCAGCGCAUACUGGUUUCCUUGAGUACGCACAACGUUGGCGGAAUUCGUCGUGUAGCGGUGAAAUGCUUAGAUAUGACGAAGAACUCCGAUUGCGAAGGCAGCUGACGGGAGCGCAACUGACGCUUAAGCUCGAAGGUGCGGGUAUCAAACAGGAUUAGAUACCCUGGUAGUCCGCACAGUAAACGAUGGAUGCCCGCUGUUGGUACCUGGUAUCAGCGGCUAAGCGAAAGCAUUAAGCAUCCCACCUGGGGAGUACGCCGGCAACGGUG